CAGGAACACUAAAUAGAAAUAAAAGAAAGUAGGAGAGACGAAGUAGGCGAAGAAAGAAAGGUGCACAAUAUUUAUUUAUUCGGUAAUCAAUAUAAAGUUCUGAAGAGAUAGGUUAAUUAGGGGAAGUGAUAAAAUUGGUUUUUGUAUUUCACGGGACAACAAAAAUUAGGUGGUGCGAGAAUUAUACCUGACGGCAACAAGAAUAGUAUAACAAAGGUUUGCAGGUUGCCGUGGAAAGAUCUUUCAUCGAGACGUGCAAUUAGAGUGCUGCAGACAGACAGCAGUUAUUCAGAUUUAGAUAGGUAUGUGUGAGGUGAAUGAUUAAGGAUAUGAAUGCAUAACUGAGGACAAGAGAUUACAGGGAGAUAAGAUAAGAGG